rnacentral:rRNA from 1 species
AUUGAACGCUGGCGGCAGGCCUAACACAUGCAAGUCGAACGAGUGGCGGACGGGUGAGUAAUGUCUGGGAAACUGCCCGAUGGAGGGGGAUAACUACUGGAAACGGUAGCUAAUACCGCAUACCAUCGGAUGUGCCCAGAUGGGAUUAGCUAGUAGGUGGGGUAACGGCUCACCUAGGCGCCGAUCCCUAGCUGGUCUGAGAGGAUGACCAGCCAAACGGGAACUGAGACACGGUCCGGACACCUACGGGAGGCAGCAGGGGGGAAUAUUGCACAAAGGGCGGAAGCCUGAUGCAGCCAUGCCGCGUGUAUGAAGAAGGCCUUCGGGUUGGAAAGUACUUUCAGCGGGGAGGCGUUACCCGCAGAAGAAGCACCGGCUAACUCCGUGCCAGCCGCCGCGGUAAUUC